UAUUGUAUCAUCACAAUUCCUCUCUCCAGUUCAAUUCAGAGAUCCAGUUUACAAGAAAAAAGAAAUCAAGACAUAAAUCUCCAUGAUCAAUUAGAAGCAAAUCCUAACUAGCAAAUGAUUUAAAACCAUUAUUCCUCUCCAUAUCAAUCAAGCGUUUUUUUCAAAACCCAUUUCUUCGGAGUUUCCGUUUUCAAUAUUUUUCAGAAUACCUUCAGGUGGAUUUAUUUUCAGGUGGAGUGAAAGUUUGGUCAUAGAAAAGGUAAUAGAUGCAGCUAUGGACCUCCAUACUGAGUGUGAACUGUCCAGUCUGCUGGCUUAGGGCUGGAGUAAUGGACCUGGUUGGAGAUAGUUUUUCGAAAAAUGAAGGCAUAGAUGGUAACAUCUUACCUUCAACUUAGUGUUGAAGCUUUGAUCUGGUCCUUAUGCUUGUAAUAGGAAUAUCCGAAUAUAGGUUAAGCUUUUCCAACUUAGUGUUGAAGUUUUUCAGACUUGGAACUUGCAGUAAUUUAGAUAGUUGAUAUUGUAAACUGAAUAAACUUUUCAAUACAACUUGAUUUUUAAAGUCAU